rnacentral:rRNA from 1 species
UACGAGGGGGGCGAGCGUUGUUCGGAAUUAUUGGGCGUAAAGGGCGCGUAGGCGGUGCGGUAAGUCACCUGUGAAACCCCCCAGCUCAACCUGGGGGACGCCACUCGAUACUGCUGUGACUAGAGUCCGGUAGGGGAGCGUGGAAUUCCUGGUGUAGCGGUGAAAUGCGCAGAUAUCAGGAGGAACACCAGCGGCGAAGGCGGCGCACUGGACAGCAACUGACACUCAACUGCGAAAGCGUGGGGAGCAAACAGG